AGAGUUUGAUCAUGGCUCAGGAUGAACGCUAGCGGCAGGCCUAACACAUGCAAGUCGAGGGGUAUUCCGAGCAAUCGGGAGAGACCGGCGCACGGGUGAGUAACGCGUAUGCAACCUACCUUAUACAGGGGAAUAGCUCAGUGAAAAUUGAAUUAAUACCCCAUAAAGCAGGGGUACCGCAUGGUACUAUUUGCUAAAGAUUUAUCGGUAUAAGAUGGGCAUGCGUGUCAUUAGCUAGUUGGUAAGGUAAUGGCUUACCAAGGCUACGAUGACUAGGGGGUCUGAGAGGAUGAUCCCCCACACUGGUACUGAGACACGGACCAGACUCCUACGGGAGGCAGCAGUGAGGAAUAUUGGUCAAUGGGGGCAACCCUGAACCAGCCAUGCCGCGUGAAGGAUGACUGCCCUAAGGGUUGUAAACUUCUUUUGUACGGGGGUAAUUUUCGGUUUGCGAACCGGAUUGAAAGUACUGUAUGAAUAAGCGUCGGCUAACUACGUGCCAGCAGCCGCGGUAAUACGUAGGACGCAAGCGUUAUCCGGAUUUAUUGGGUUUAAAGGGUGCGUAGGCGGACCCAUAAGUCAGUGGUGAAAUACUGUCGCUCAACGAUAGCAUUGCCAUUGAUACUGUGGGUCUUGAGUACAGUUGAGGUAGGCGGAAUGUGUAGUGUAGCGGUGAAAUGCUUAGAUAUUACACAGAACACCGAUUGCGAAGGCAGCUUACUAAGCUGAAACUGACGCUGAGGCACGAAAGCGUGGGGAUCAAACAGGAUUAGAUACCCUGCUAGUCCACGCCGUAAACUAUGAUGACUGGUUGUUAGCGAUAUACCGUUAGCGACUGAGUGAAAGCAUUAAGUCAUCCACCUGGGGAGUACGUCGGCAACGAUGAAACUCAAAGGAAUUGACGG
rnacentral:rRNA from 1 species